ACCAAUCAGAAAACACAUUUAAAAUAUAUUCAACUAACUCAUUGAUAUACCAAUUAGAAAACAGAUUUAAAAUAUAUUCAACUAACAUCCAAACUCAGUUUAUUACAAUAUUCCACACAAUCACAAUAUAACCAUACAAUAUUCCACCAAUCACAAUACAACACAUAAAACGCUCAACAAGUAUAGGAACGUCUCCAACACCUUAUAGUGCCUUCAACCUGCAAAACAUCAACAUCCAUCCACAUAUUAACCAUUGAGUUGAGAUCAAUUCACCCCUUGACGGAAAUAAGAAUAUGCGCUCAUGUAUGAACAAAACUAAAAUAAACAAACUUUGAGGCCAUAGCAUGUGCUACAAAAAUGUUAACAAUUUUUUUAAUAAUUUGUGGUAGCUUGUUCAAAUUCUACUGCAAGGAUUUCAGAUAUGUAUGUAUACUCAAAGUUUCAUAGAUAUUUGUGUGCAAAAUUAAUCUCCCGGUUUCAGAUACGUGUGUAUGCAAACUUAAUCGAUUCCUGGUGCUACUCCUAGUGCACACUUAUUAGAUAUACAGAAAUCAUGGUUAAAAUUCACAUGUACAUGUCCUGGUCCAGUCAAUCACUUACCUUCGUGAUUGCAUCCAUGUCAUGAAGCAGGACAUGGCUGAAUUGGCCUUCACUCACACCAACCAUGUAUAUGAGAAUGAUCAGUCAGCCAAUGAGGUCCAUUGAUUGCACAAGAUGAAAAGAACAUCCUGAAUUUGGGCACAUAUAUACCUAUAGAAAUAGCAGCAUCUCAAUCACUGUAUAAUCAGCAAGCACACAUAGCAGCAGUAAUAAGAACUCUCUGAAUCACAAACACUAAUCAGCACCCCUCUAUGCCAAUCUAUCUCCAACGGAUGAAACAACAAUAUCUCACUCAUCUCAGACGAAUCCUCUCCCAUCUCCCUCUCUCUGAAUCUCAUAUCACCUGAAGCAUAACAUGAGCUCGUUAAUAGACCAACCAAUUUCAUGUUUUUUCUAAUAAAAAGGAAGAGCCAAACUGUAUCUUAUCAUAUGAGGAGAAGAAAAAUAUAAGGGGUCAUACUUAUUCUGCGCCUAUUACGCUGGACCACACCACAUCUUCCAACAUGCUAUCCAAGACUAGCACUAGAAGAUGAAACACACAUAAUGUGUGUGAUGAACAACGGGUUUUAAGGCCAAACACACAUCAGGACGCUGAUAUAAGCCGACGGUACAUUCCCCACGGAGGAGGGAAACUGAGGAAUAAGCCAGCAGCCCCCUCACCUCCAGUACAAGGCUGUUCUCCGGAGAUAUAUGAGAAAGGCAAGCAUCGCGACCCUGCCAUUUACUCGAAGCUACGGGACACACACAGGAUAAAUAAAGAGAAAAACCAACAUCCCCUUUCUUUGCUCCCUUGAGCGUUGGCACAUAAUAAUGCGCUUGAUUGGGACAUGGGUUAACUGAAAUGUUGUGACGUGGUAAUUCCAUGAUGGAGGAAGUACUAGCUAGUACUCCCUCAGUUCCUAAAUAUAUGUCUUUUUAGAGGUUCCACUAGUGGGCUAUAUAUGGUUAUAUAUAGACAUACUUUAGAGUGUAUAUUCAUUCAUUUUACUCCGUAUGUAGACCCCUAGUGAAAUCUUUUAAAAGACUUAUAUUUAGGAACGGAGGGAGUACAUACACACAUGUCACACCGAGACAGAAUCCCCACACCCGCUCUGUUUACCGAAUGGAGGGAGGAAGUGACGAGAUCCCCUGUCCAUCCCUGUUGAGGGCUCAGCACCAUGCAGCACGGGCGGACCUAACGAGGCUCGCAGGUUGGGUUCAAGAUUCCGAGGGUACGGCUGGGUAGGGUUAGCAUGUCGCACCGCUAGAAGUAAAAGAAACAAAACAAGAGGGAAAAAAUAACGGAGAAGGAAGGGAGCAUAUCGGAUGAACCAGCCCAACGGAUGAAGAAGCAGCAAGCAAAUAUAGAGGCAUCUCCCUCUUGGCUCUCUCCCCACCCCCAAAUCGAGCCCACCGUCGCUCCCGUCAUCCCCUUCAACAGCGGCAAUGAGUCUGGGACACAUGUCCAUCCCGCUCGGCUCUCUCCCCACCGCAGGGGAUACAUCGCAUCCCCGUGUGCAGCCCCGGCGACCGUGGCACGCCCUCUAUCUACAUCCUGGCAGUGUCGCCUCUCCCUCCUCCAACUUUCUAUGCUUUGCUCGAUCUAAGAGAAAAUCAAGGGUAGGACGGACCUGUGAUGCGGAGGACAUGACGUGGUGACGGGAACGAUCUGCCCGGAGGUGGAGGCGGGAAUGAUCUGCUAUUUGUACUCCUUGAGACGCGCCUUGAGCUCAUGGUCCUCCUCCGACUGCGAAAGGCUUGAAACACGAGUCACGCGACCACACCCGUAAGAGAGAGGAUGAGUGGCGCCCCCGCCCCAUGGGAAGAAAGCAGAGGAAGAGAAGGGGGGAAGCUCUGGGGUCGUCGUUGCUCACCGGGUUGUCCCCCUUCGUCUUCCCCUUUCCCUUGGCCGGCUGUGGCAGGGCGUGGGAGGCGGCAUGAACUCUGUCGCCGCCACUAGCAUCCUCGUGCGACGAGGGAGAGCAGAUUAGGAUUUGGAUCUCCGUCUGGAUCGGGGGAGGAUAGGGACUGAGGGAGGAGGCGGCGGAAGGAAGUUAAACGAGGGAGCAGAGGGUGUCGUGCACUGCGUUUAGGUUUAGCUAUAUGAGAGGCGAGUGAGAGGCGAGUGAGAGACGUUGGAUCCGCAG
rnacentral:lncRNA from 1 species